UGGGGAAUAUUGGACAAUGGGCGCAAGCCUGAUCCAGCAAUGCCGCGUGGGUGAAGACGGCCUGCGGGUUGUAAAGCCCUUUAGGCGGGGAAGAACGGCGGACGGUAAACAGCGGUUCGCUCUGACAUUACCCGUGGAAUAAGCACCGGCUAACUCCGUGCCAGCAGCCGCGGUAAUACGGAGGGUGCGAGCGUUAAUCGGAAUUACUGGGCGUAAAGCGUGCGUAGGCGGAUGGGUCAGUCAGCCGUGAAAGCCCCGGGCUCAACCUGGGAACGGCGGUUGAGACGGCCUGUCUCGAGUGGGCUAGAGGAUCGUGGAAUUCCGGGUGUAGCGGUGAAAUGCGUAGAGAUCCGGAGGAACACCGAUGGCGAAGGCAGCGGUCUGGGGCCACACUGACGCU
rnacentral:rRNA from 1 species